GAUGAACGCUGGCGGCGUGCCUAAUACAUGCAAGUCGAGCGAACGGACGAGAAGCUUGCUUUUCUGAUGUUAGCGGCGGACGGGUGAGUAACACGUGGAUAACCUACCUAUAAGACUGGGAUAACUUCGGGAAACCGGAGCUAAUACCGGAUAAUAUUUUGAACCGCAUGGUUCAUAAGUGAAAGACGGUCUUGCUGUCACUUAUAGAUGGAUCCGCGCUGCAUUAGCUAGUUGGUAAGGUAACGGCUUACCAAGGCAACGAUGCAUAGCCGACCUGAGAGGGUGAUCGGCCACACUGGAACUGAGACACGGUCCAGACUCCUACGGGAGGCAGCAGUAGGGAAUCUUCCGCAAUGGGCGAAAGCCUGACGGAGCAACGCCGCGUGAGUGAUGAAGGUCUUCGGAUCGCAAAACUCUGUUAUUAGGGAAGAACAUAUGUGUAAGUAACUGUGCACAUCUUGACGGUACCUAAUCAGAAAGCCACGGCUAACUACGUG
rnacentral:rRNA from 1 species